AUUUAAAAGACCAUUCUCAGCUAACAUGUCAAUCAGUGAGUGCGUGCACGUCCGGUACGCGUUUUCAAGCGCUUAUUUCGGGAUUUUCUCGUCGUGUUGGCCUUGCGGUGACUUGCAAAACUUAGCAAAAUACUUGCCAAAAACUUGUCAAAAGGCUUGAGUUUCCUUCUGUGAAGAUAGGUAUGAUUGCUCAGUGCUUGUGUGCAUCAUUUUCCUGUCUUCUGAGGACUCAAGCGUGACGACUGGCACCAACGAUACUUAUUUAAAUUAUUAGG